rnacentral:misc_RNA from 1 species
GAUGAAGAACGUAGCGAAAUGCGAUAAGUAAUGUGAAUUCCAGAAUUCCGUGAAUCAUCGAAUCUUUGAACGCACAUUGCGCCCCCUGGCAUUCCGGGGGGCAUGCCUGUCCGAGCGUCAUUUCUGCCCUCAAGCACGGCUUGUGUGUUGGGUGUGGUCCCCCCGGGGACCUGCCCGAAAGGCAGCGGCGACGUCCGUCUGGUCCUCGAGCGUAUGGGGCUCUGUCACUCGCUCGGGAAGGACCUGCGGGGGUUGGUCACCACUAUAUUUUACCACGGUUGACCUCGGAUCAGGUAGGAGUUACCCGCUGAACUUAAGCAUAUCAAUAAGCGGAGGA